GACGAACGCUGGCGGCGUGCCUAACACAUGCAAGUCGAACGGAACUGUUUUGAAAGAUUUCUUCGGAAUGAAUUUGAUUUAGUUUAGUGGCGGACGGGUGAGUAACGCGUGAGUAACCUGCCUUCAAGAGGGGAAUAACAUUCUGAAAAGAAUGCUAAUACCGCAUGACAUAUCGGAACCACAUGGUUUUGAUAUCAAAGAUUUUAUCGCUUGAAGAUGGACUCGCGUCCGAUUAGUUAGUUGGUGAGGUAACGGCUCACCAAGACCGCGAUCGGUAGCCGGACUGAGAGGUUGAGCGGCCACAUUGGGACUGAGACACGGCCCAGACUCCUACGGGAGGCAGCAGUGGGGGAUAUUGCGCAAUGGGGGCAACCCUGACGCAGCAACGCCGCGUGAAGGAUGAAGGUUUUCGGAUUGUAAACUUCUUUUAUUAAGGACGAAAAAUGACGGUACUUAAUGAAUAAGCUCCGGCUAACUACGUG
rnacentral:rRNA from 1 species